rnacentral:rRNA from 1 species
CGCGGCCUAUCAGCUUGUUGGUGGGGUGAUGGCCUACCAAGGCGACGACGGGUAGCCGGCCUGAGAGGGCGACCGGCCACACUGGGACUGAGACACGGCCCAGACUCCUACGGGAGGCAGCAGUGGGGAAUAUUGCACAAUGGGCGGAAGCCUGAUGCAGCGACGCCGCGUGAGGGAUGAAGGCCUUCGGGUUGUAAACCUCUUUCGACAGGGACGAAGCGCAAGUGACGGUACCUGGAGAAGAAGCGCCGGCCAACUACGUGCCAGCAGCCGCGGUAAGACGUAGGGCGCGAGCGUUGUCCGGAUUUAUUGGGCGUAAAGAGCUCGUAGGCGGCUUGUUGCGUCAGCUGUGAAAACCCGCAGCUCAACUGUGGGCUUGCAGCUGAUACGGGCAGGCUUGAGUUCGGUAGGGGAGACUGGAAUUCCUGGUGUAGCGGUGAAAUGCGCAGAUAUCAGGAGGAACACCGGUGGCGAAGGCGGGUCUCUGGGCCGAUACUGACGCUGAGGAGCGAAAGCGUGGGGAGCGAACAGGAUUAGAUACCCUGGUAGUCCACGCUGUAAACGUUGGGCGCUAGGUGUGGGGGGCCUCUCCGGUUCUCUGUGCCGCAGCUAACGCAUUAAGCGCCCCGCCUGGGGAGUACGG